GGAUCGGAGAAGCGUCAUGCAUGUCACCGUGACUUGCAAAGCAGCUAGCAUAGGGAACAUCGAGAGAGAGAUGAGGGUAGCGAUGGUGGGUUCCGGCCUAAGCGGGCUAGUGGCGGCGCAUGAGCUAGCGAGAAGUGGCGGCGUGCGUGUCACCGUGUACGAGAAGGAGGACCAUCUCGGCGGCGCCAAGACCGUUGCCGUGGACGGCGGAGCAGAAGAAGGCCGUGUCCUCGUCGACCUCGGCCCCGUGGUCUUCAACCCGGUGACAAGCCCAAACUUGAUGGAAUGGUUUGAAAGGCUAGGGGUGGAGAUGUGCACAUCAGACAUGUCAUUCUCAGCAAGUAUGCGGCUAAACAAAAGUAGUGAAAGCUUCGAAUGGGGUAGCCGCAGUGGUAUGUCUGGUGUUCUGGCGCAGAAGAGCAAUUUGCUUAGCCCCAGAUUCUGGCUCGUGGUCCAUGAGAUAUUCAAGUUCAAGAAUCACGCCCUCAAGUACCUGGAGGACCACAGAAGUGGUCCUAACCGCAAUGAAACUUUGGGGCAAUUCAUUCUAUCACAUAGAUAUUCGCAGCUCUUCCAGGAUGCCUACCUUAUUCCAAUGUGUGCAUGCAUUUGGCCCAGUCCGUCACACGAAAUCCUGGGCUUCCCUGCUCUCUUUGUUCUUUCAUUUUUCCGCGACAAUCAGCUACUUGAGAUUUUGAGUGGCUCAAAAUGGCUUACGGUCAAAGGUGGCUCGGGGUCCUACGUGAACAAGAUAAGGGAAGAAUUGGAGAGUAAUGGUUGUCAGAUCAAGAUUGGCUGUGAAGUCAACUCUAUUUCAAAGUCGAACGAUGGAUACCAAAUUUUAGAGGUUGAUGGUUCGGUGGAGACGUACGAUAGGAUCAUAAUAGGUAUUAAUGCACAUGAUGCACUAAAAGUAUUAGGAGCUGAAGCAACAAAUGAGGAACUGAAGAAUCUAGGAGCUUUCCAUUUUAUCCGGAGUAUCGCGUACCUCCACUCUGAUGAAAGUCUGAUGCCGCGUAAUUCCUCUGCAUGGAGCGCUAGGAACUUCUUGGGGACAACAAGCAGUGGUGUCUGUGUUACCUCCUGGCUAAAUAUACUUGAGAACAUUGAAUCUGCCGGGCCUCUACUUGUGACACUUAACCCUCCUCGUGUUCCCAAUCAUGUAUUGCUUAAAUGUCAUAUUAGCCAUCCAAUUCCUUCCAUUGCUGCUGCAAAGGCUAAUCUUCAGCUCAACAGCAUUCAAGGAAAGAGGGGCAUCUGGUUCUGUGGCUCAUAUCAAGGCUAUGGAUACCAUGAGGACAGUGUUAAGGCUGGGAAAGCAGCAGCUUUAGGAUUGCUUGGAAGGAAAUGUGACCUUUUGUCUAACCCAAAACCGAUGGUCUCAUCGUGGACAGAGGCGGGCGCACGUCUUCUUGUAGCAAGAAGCCUAGACCAAUACAUAACCAUUGGUAACUUCUGUAUACUCGAAGAAGGAGGCACUACAUUCAGUUUUGGUAAAGCAUGCGAAAAAUGUCAUGUAAAAUCUGCGAUACGCGUUCACGAUCCCCAGUUCUAUUGGAAGGCUGCAACAGAAGGAGACCUUGGCUUUGCAUCUGCCUACAUCAAUGGCCAAAUCUCAUUUGUUGAUCACCGAAAAGGCCUUGUGAACCUUGUACGGAUCAUACUGGCUAAUAGAGGUGAGUUCAAGAGGUUGAGCAGCACUGCUAGUGGCAAUACAAGGAAAGCCUGGUGGUCGCCGUUGCUUGGAAUUACUGGAGUCUCAUUUGCAAAAUACUUUUUGCGUCAUGCCUUGCGGAAGAAUAGUGUAUCCAAAGCUCGUAAAAAUAUAUCUGAACACUACGAUCUGAGUAAUGAUUUCUUCGCUCUUUAUCUGGAUCCAUCAAUGACGUACUCUUCUGGCAUUUUUAAGGUGGCGGAGGAGAGCUUAGAAACAGCCCAACUACGCAAACUUGACAGUCUCAUUAACAAGGCUAAGGUGGAGCCAGGGCACCAUGUUCUUGACAUUGGUUGUGGUUGGGGCACUUUAGCAAUACGGUUGGUGAAGCAAACCGGUUGCAAGUACACAGGAAUCACAUUAUCUGAGGAGCAACUGAAAUACGCGAAGAGAAAGGUGAAAGAAUCUGGGUUAGAGGACCGCAUAACUUUGCUCCUUUGCGAUUACCGUCAACUACCGGCAGGCGAUAAGUUUGACAGGAUUAUAAGCUGUGAAAUGAUUGAACAUGUUGGGCAUGAGUACAUGGAUGAUUUCUUCGGGUGCUGCGAGUAUCAUUUGGCAGAGCAUGGCCUACUUGUCCUCCAGUCCAUCGCGCUCCCAGAAGAAUUGUAUGACAAAAUGAGGAUGCGGCCCGAGUUUCUCAAGACAUAUAUCUUCCCCGGUGGCUGCCUACCUUCUCUAGGCCGGAUUGUGUCUGCCAUGUCUAAUGCAUCAAGGCUCAACAUUCAGCACCUUGAGAAUAUUGGGGACCACUACUACACUACCCUAAUGAACUGGAGGGACAACUUCGUGGCCAACAGAGAGUAAAUACAAUAUAUACCACCACAAACUCAAGCUAACGCCUCAUCUAUAUAUAAAAGCUUCUGCGCUUGGAUUUGACGACAAAUUCAUCCGUACCUGGGAGUAUUAUUUAAGUUACGCUGCGGCUUUGUUCAAAUCACGCACAGCUAUAGAUUACCAGAUAGUGUUUGCUCGGCCAGGCGAUUCAAAGCUACCAAGCUAUGUUGCCAUUGCAUAAAAUAAAUGGAUAGGAUCGAGAUGAUGCUGUGUUAUGCGUGUGUGUGUGUGAGAGAGAGAAAUUUAUUCAGUCAUGUACGUGCAUGUGUGUUGGAGAGCAGCAGCAGGCCAGCUGCUGCAUGCUGUGUGGCUUGGAUAGAUGCAUGCGUGUGGUAUAUAGUACUACUAGAAGUCUGCAUGCAUAUGUCUGCUAGCGGUGCUUUCAUUUGCACUCGAGUCGCUCCACGUAAGAGGUGAAAUAAUAGUGGUUAAGGCAUCUGAUCGAGUGCUUGGCAAAAACAUGAUGUUAAGUUGACAACUUGUAAUAAUAUUACUUAAAUAUGUAGAGAAUUGUUCUUUUAAAUAAAAAAGAAGAGGCGCUAAUGUGAAGA